GGCUCCACCAGCCGGAUCUCUACUCCGAACUUCUAUUGCAAGCGGACUUCAUCCGAGCUUCUACAGUAAGAAGUCUCCAUCCGAGCUUUCACGACAACCGAUCUUCGUCCGAGCUUCUACAGUAAGCGACCUCCUUCCAAACUCCUACAAGAAUCGGACUCUGUCCGAACUUCUACAAUAGAAUUGAAUUCCAGACUCCUCCAGC
rnacentral:lncRNA from 1 species